rnacentral:rRNA from 1 species
AUUGAACGCUGGCGGCAUGCCUAACACAUGCAAGUCGAACGAGUGGCGGACGGGUGAGUAAUGUCUGGGAAACUGCCCGAUGGAGGGGGAUAACUACUGGAAACGGUAGCUAAUACCGCAUACCAUCGGAUGUGCCCCGAUGGGAUUAGCUCGUAGGUGGGGGAUCGGCUCACCAAGGCGACGAUCCCUAGCGGGGCUGAGAGGAUGACCAGCCACACUGGAACUGAGACACGGUCCAGACUCCUACGGGAGGCAGCAGUGGGGAAUAUUGCACAAUGGGCGCAAGCCUGAUGCAGCCAUGCCGCGUGUAUGAAGAAGGCCUUCGGGUUGUAAAGUACUUUCAGCAGGGAGGCGUUACUCGCAGAAGAAGCACCGGCUAACUACGUGCCAGCCGCCGCGGUAAUAC